UCUCUGAAACUGCUAUGUUUUCAGCUGCAGGGUUAAAACUAGAGGGACCUGACACACAGACAACUUCAUUGAGCUGAUGUGAUCUGGGUGUCUGUAGUGGUCCUUUAAGUGUGUGUGCAUCUGCAUGCACUGGCAUACAUACCGCGGUUGCAGGGGUUGCAGCCCUGCGACCAGGUGCCCACCGCCAUGUGUUGCCUACCAUGGUGACCACAGGUAACGGGGAAUCAGGGUUCGAUUCCGGGAGGGAGCCUAAGAAACGGCUACCACAUCCAAGGAAGGCAGCAGGCGCGCAAAUUACCCAUUCCCGACGCGGGGAGGUAGUGACGA